UACGGAGGGUGCAAGCGUUGUUCGGAAUUACUGGGCGUAAAGGGCUCGUAGGUGGCCAACUAAGUCAGACGUGAAAUCCCUCAGCUUAACUGGGGAACUGCGUCUGAUACUGGAUGGCUUGAGUUUGGGAGAGGGACGCGGAAUUCCAGGUGUAGCGGUGAAAUGCGUAGAUAUCUGGAGGAACACCGGUGGCGAAGGCGGCGUCCUGGACCAACACUGACACUGAUGAGCGAAAGCCAGGGGAGCAAACGGG
rnacentral:rRNA from 1 species